UACGUAGGGUGCAAGCGUUGUCCGGAAUCAUUGGGUUUAAAGGGUCCGCAGGCGGUCUUAUAAGUCAGUGGUGAAAGCCUACAGCUCAACUGUAGAACUGCCAUUGAUACUGUAAGACUUGAAUUCGAUCGAAGUGGGCGGAAUAUGACAUGUAGCGGUGAAAUGCUUAGAUAUGUCAUAGAACACCGAUAGCGAAGGCAGCUCACUAGGUCUGGAUUGACGCUCAGGGACGAAAGCGUGGGGAGCAAACAGG
rnacentral:rRNA from 1 species